UGCCACAGCGGAACGAUGCCAGAGAUCACU
rnacentral:piRNA from 1 species